UUUAAUGGGUGCAGAAGGACAAAAAAUAACCUCUUGCUUAAUGAUGCGGCAAGUCUGAACUUUAAAACGACGUCACUUGAAACAUUCUCAAGAAUCAAACAACAUACAAAAUGGCGUGGCCCGGGUCUGCGCAAUUAGGGUUUUGACUGCCAAUCCCUAAUGCAUGCGUAUUUAACUGUCGUCACAAGGAAUCAAGGAUAUUUAGAGUCUGUUUCUUCUCCUUCUAUGUAACAUAUCUUCCUCUUUAUUAUUUGUGCAUUGGUAGAAGUUGCGAUGUUUGAUUACAUUUUCUUGUAGCGGGAAGAUAGAAAGGGAGAAUUAGAAGAGGCUUGGUUGCGAUGAUUAGAAAUGAAAUUAUUGGUUCUGAAUGCUAUAGCCAUGGCAUGACAGACUCCUUUACACCCAUAGAAUAUGAGCACCGCCGUCUAAUUUCUCAGUGUUUCUGAUUUGUUUUAUGAGCUACAGAAGAUCAAUGAAAAUACUUUAGGAGGUGACUUUUGUUUGCAAAGCAUGAUAAUGAAAUUGCUUUGUUUUGAGUCAACUCCCUAAAAUUAUUUGGUGGUGUUUGAAGCCUUAAUUUGAUGGAAGAAGCAAUUUCGUAGAUUGGGGUUACGCACAUUUCUACAUCAUGUGUAAUUUUUCACUCUCUUUUUAUUUUAUUCAAUUUUGAUUUAAAUUUUUUCUAUCCUGAAUUUUCAGAUGUUGUUGAUCUUUGGUUGGAUACAUGUAUUCGACGAAUUCUCAUCAUUCAAGACCAAAGAUUGAGAUGUGAUCUUGGAAUUCCUUUCUCAAAAAUGACUUGUGUUUUCUGCACAGGAUUUUUUUUCUUCUAUCAUAUAGAAUGGUUAUGCGUGACUGAUAUAAAACAAAUGAAAGCAAGAUUGAAGGCAGUUGUAUUCUCUCUUGAACUUUCUAAGAGCAUGACUCCUUGUUUUCUACAGUGGGAAGGGGCAGGGAGGGGCCUCUCCUCUCCACCUGAGUUGCGUUUGAUUUUGUAAUGCUUCACAUGUCUGAGCUCAGUACCUUGCAUGGGUGAUAUGUUGGUUCUGUUUGUCCUUCUUUCCUCUGUGUUGUUUGCUCUGGUGUGGAUUUUGCAGGUGGAAGUGAUACUCUGAGGUUUCUCCGCUGAAGUCAUUACCGGCGGCUCUUUGCUCUGCAUGCGUUUUUUUUGCUUAUGUCCCAGCAUAGAUGCGUCACUAGGAAUUGCAUCGGGGACUCGCUGGUCCGGCUACUCCUGGGGUGGUCCCUACGCAUGCCUCGGCCCGUGGACUCCAGAUAGCUAUUUUCUGAAUAGUGCUACUGUUUUCUCUGCCUAGUUAGGGCCUAGGGUUAUUUUAGAUCUUGGGUUGGGCCCUUUAGUAAGCUGAGUGUAUAGGGAUUGACUUUGGGUGAAUUAUUUUGGGCUCUGUAGGCCUUCUGCGUAGGAUUUGUUACCAAUUAAGCCUUGUAAUGAGGUUCUAGGCCAUGUAAUGUUUCCGCGCAUCUAAUGGAGCCGCCAUCUUUGGAAGAAAAAAAUUUUGAGACUACUUUGCAUCCAUGAAAUGAAAAGAGGAAUUUUUUUUUA